GGCGUGUGCAUAUCAAUAAGCGGAGGAAAAGAAACCAACUGGGAUUGCCUUAGUAACGGCGAGUGAAGCGGCAAAAGCUCAAAUUUGAAAUCUGGUACCUUUGGUGCCCGAGUUGUAAUUUGGAGAGUACCACUUUGGGACUGUACUUUGCCUAUGUUCCUUGGAACAGGACGUCAUGGAGGGUGAGAAUCCCGUGUGGCGAGGGUGUCAGUUCUUUGUAAAGGGUGCUCGAAGAGUCGAGUUGUUUGGGAAUGCAGCUCUAAGUGGGUGGUAAAUUCCAUCUAAAGCUAAAUACAGGCGAGAGACCGAUAGCGAACAAGUACAGUGAUGGAAAGAUGAAAAGAACUUUGAAAAGAGAGUGAAAAAGUACGUGAAAUUGUUGAAAGGGAAGGGCAUUUGAUCAGACAUGGUGUUUUGCGCCCCUUGCCUCUCGUGGGCUUGGGACUCUCGCAGCUCACUGGGCCAGCAUCGGUUUUGGCGGCCGGAAAAAACCUAGGGAAUGUGGCUCUGCGCCUCGGUGUAGAGUGUUAUAGCCCUGGGGAAUACGGCCAGCCGGGACCGAGGACUGCGAUACUUGUUAUCUAGGAUGCUGGCAUAAUGGUUAUAUGCCGCCCGUCUUGAAACACGGACCACACAC
rnacentral:rRNA from 1 species